GAUCCUGGCUCAGAUUAAACGCUGGCGGCAUGCCUUACACAUGCAAGUCGAACGGUAGCGCGGGGCAACCUGGCGACGAGUGGCGAACGGGUGAGUAAAGCAUCGGAACGUGCCCUGGAAUGGGGGAUAACGUAGCGAAAGUUACGCUAAUACCGCAUAUUCUGUGAGCAGGAAAGCAGGGGAUCGCAAGACCUUGCGUUCUGGGAGCGGCCGAUGUCGGAUUAGCUAGUUGGUGGGGUAAAGGCCUACCAAGGCGACGAUCCGUAGCGGGUCUGAGAGGAUGAUCCGCCACACUGGGACUGAGACACGGCCCAGACUCCUACGGGAGGCAGCAGUGGGGAAUUUUGGACAAUGGGCGGAAGCCUGAUCCAGCCAUGCCGCGUGAGUGAAGAAGGCCUUCGGGUUGUAAAGCUCUUUCGGUGGGGAAGAAAUUGCACGGGUAAAUACCCUGUGUAGAUG
rnacentral:rRNA from 1 species